GUAGGGGGCAAGCGUUAUCCGGAUUUACUGGGUGUAAAGGGAGCGUAGACGGCACGGCAAGCCAGAUGUGAAAGCCCGGGGCUCAACCCCGGGACUGCAUUUGGAACUGCUGAGCUAGAGUGUCGGAGAGGCAAGUGGAAUUCCUAGUGUAGCGGUGAAAUGCGUAGAUAUUAGGAGGAACACCAGUGGCGAAGGCGGCUUGCUGGACGAUGACUGACGUUGAGGCUCGAAAGCGUGGGGAGCAAACAGGAUUAGAUACCCUGGUAGUCCACGCCGUAAACGAUGAUGGCUAACCGCCGGCGACACACUGUCGGUGGCCAAGCGAAAGCGAUAAGCCAUCCACCUGGGGAGU
rnacentral:rRNA from 1 species